GAUGAACGCUGGCGGCGUGCCUAAUACAUGCAAGUCGAGCGAACAGGCGAUGAGCUUGCUCCUUCGACGUUAGCGGCAGACGUGUGAAUAACACGUAUGUAACCUACCUAUAAUACUGGUAUAACUUCGGGAAACCGGAGCUAAUACCGUAUAAUAUUUCGAACCGCAUGGUUCGAUAGAGAAAUAUGGCUGUUCUAUCACUUAUAGCUGGACCUGCGCCUGUUUAGCUAGUUGGUAAGUUAACGGCUACCAAGGCGACGAUACGUAGCCCACGUGAGAGGGGGAUAGCCGACAUUGGAACUGAGCCACGGUCCAGAGGCCUACGGGAGGCAGCAGUCGGGAACCGUACGCAAUGGGCGAAAACAUGGCGGAGUAACGGCGCGUGUGUGACAAAGGUGUUCGGAUCGUAAAAAUCUGUUAUUAGGGAAGAACAAACGUGUACGUAAACGAGCAGGGAUUGACGGUAACGAAUAAGAAAGCACCGGCUAACUACGUG
rnacentral:rRNA from 1 species